UGGGGGAUAUUGCACAAUGGGCGAAAGCCUGAUGCAGCGACGCCGCGUGGGGGAUGAAGGCCUUCGGGUUGUAAACUUCUUUUGCUCUGAACAAGGCGCACCAUGGGGUGUGUUGAGUGUAGGGGUUGAUUAGCGCCGGCUAACUACGUGCCAGCAGCCGCGGUAAUACGUAGGGCGCGAGCGUUGUCCGGAAUUAUUGGGCGUAAAGGGCUUGUAGGUGGCUGGUUGCGUCUGUCGUGAAAGCUCAUGGCUUAACUGUGGGUUUGCGGUGGGUACGGGCUGGCUUGAGUGCAGUAGGGGAGGCUGGAAUUCCUGGUGUAGCGGUGGAAUGCGCAGAUAUCAGGAGGAAUACCGGUGGCGAAGGCGGGUCUCUGGGCUGUUACUGACACUGAGGCGCGAAAGCAUGGGGAGCGAACAGG
rnacentral:rRNA from 1 species